rnacentral:rRNA from 1 species
UCGGAUUGUAGUCUGCAACCCGACUACAUGAAGCUGGAAUCGCUAGUAAUCGCGGAUCAGAAUGCCGCGGUGAAUACGUUCCCGGGUCUUGUACACACCGCCCGUCACACCAUGGGAGUCGGAAAUGCCCGAAGCCGGUGACCCAACCAAAAGGAGGGAGCCGUCGAAGGCAGGUCUGAUAACUGGGGUGAAGUCGUAACAAGGUAUC